rnacentral:ribozyme from 14 species
CAUUUAGUUAUGAAUCUUUCUUUCUUUCUUUCUUUUUUUCUUUCUAUCUAUCUAUCUUUCUAU